UUGAUGGCGAGUGGCGAACGGGUGAGUAAUACAUCGGAACGUGCCCUGUAGUGGGGAUAACUAGUCGAAAGAUUAGCUAAUACCGCAUACGACUGAGGGUGAAAGUGGGGGACCGCAAGGCCUCAUGCUAUAGGAGCGGCCGAUGUCUGAUUAGCUAGUUGGUGGGGUAAAGGCCCACCAAGGCGACGAUCAGUAGCUGGUCUGAGAGGACGAUCAGCCACACUGGGACUGAGACACGGCCCAGACUCCUACGGGAGGCAGCAGUGGGGAAUUUUGGACAAUGGGCGAAAGCCUGAUCCAGCAAUGCCGCGUGUGUGAAGAAGGCCUUCGGGUUGUAAAGCACUUUUGUCCGGAAAGAAAUGGCUCUGGUUAAUACCUGGGGUCGAUGACGGUACCGGAAGAAUAAGGACCGGCUAACUACGUGCCAGCAGCCGCGGUAAUACGUAGGGUCCAAGCGUUAAUCGGAAUUACUGGGCGUAAAGCGUGCGCAGGCGGUUGUGCAAGACCGAUGUGAAAUCCCCGAGCUUAACUUGGGAAUUGCAUUGGUGACUGCACGGCUAGAGUGUGUCAGAGGGGGGUAGAAUUCCACGUGUAGCAGUGAAAUGCGUAGAGAUGUGGAGGAAUACCGAUGGCGAAGGCAGCCCCCUGGGAUAACACUGACGCUCAUGCACGAAAGCGUGGGGAGCAAACAGGAUUAGAUACCCUGGUAGUCCACGCCCUAAACGAUGUCAACUAGUUGUUGGGGAUUCAUUUCCUUAGUAACGUAGCUAACGCGUGAAGUUGACCGCCUGGGGAGUACGGUCGCAAGAUUAAAACUCAAAGGAAUUGACGGGGACCCGCACAAGCGGUGGAUGAUGUGGAUUAAUUCGAUGCAACGCGAAAAACCUUACCUACCCUUGACAUGCCACUAACGAAGCAGAGAUGCAUUAGGUGCUCGAAAGAGAAAGGGA
rnacentral:rRNA from 1 species